UGAGCUGCGAGAUCGCGACCUGAGCAGAAGUCGAAGGUUCAACCGGCUGAGCCACCCAGGCGCCCAAUUCCAGCCAGAACUCUUAAGGAAGAUUGUCAGAUUAGCAAAUAAAAAUGCAAGGCCCCCAGUCAAAUUUGAAUCUGAGAUAAGCAACAAAUAUUAUAUACCCAUUACGAGUGUAUAUACAAAUAUAUACACAUUUUUUAAAUCUGAAAUUCGAAUUUGACCGGGCAUUCUGUAUUUUUAUCUGACAGUCCUAUCUCUAAAGCUAUCAAUGAGGAAUCUCCAUGUUGGAGCUAAAUAUUAGGCCAAGUUGAAAAGAAUAUGGGAAUGUAGAAUCUGAACUUUUUGAUGUGUACAGGGUCCCGCAGAUUGCACCGUGCUUUACUUUACAACUUCUCUGUGAGGUAGGACCAAAGUCCUUAAUCCCCACUUUAUGAGUGUAGACUCUAAGUUAAAGCAUUGCACAAGGUUACAAAGCAACGUAGAAGAGCUGGGAUUCAAAUUAAGAUCCUCUGGCGGUUUUUUCUAGGGGGUUCUGUCAAUCACGACACUAAACAAACAGAAGAGCAGGAAGAAUUUAAGAGAUUGGCUAGAAAGCAUUGCUUUAGCAAGCAAAAAUACCUGGCCCGAGCAUGGACACUCUUUUCUGUUUUUGUGCCUAAGUAAGCAAUCAUCUGUCUGUGUUCUUUACAGGCUGAGAGUGGCCAUUAAGAAAUGAAAGCGAGUUUAGAUUUCACCGGCAUGUUUGGAUUUGACGACAUUUUGCAUUUCAAGAAACCAAGGUCAGCUCAACCCUUUUUUGCACUGGGACCCAGCCACCACCGUGAUUGAAGCAAAGAACUACACUGGUGAAUUUAAAGAAGCUGGGCAAGGAGUAACAAUUGCCUGUGACAACUGUCUGUGAAGAAUAUCGUUCUCAGAAAUUCCAAACUGCCCCAGAGCUGUGGCAGGAAAGUCCACAGAUUAUUAUUGGGUAAUGACAUUGGAAAUAAAAAAGUAUAUAGUAUUACAGUAUUGAGCUAUUAGAGUAGGGAAUCAAUUCAAGGAGACAAGCAAAAUUUAUAUACUUUAUUGAUUUUAAAUUUUACAUGCUCUGCUAUAUGAGUAAAUCUUUUGUAGUAAUUCUAAAGCUUUGAAACAUUGUAAAUAACAAGGACUGUGGGGAGUUCAGAACAGCCAUUUUUUCAAACUGAAAGUAUAUAGCCUUUAAUGCAUAUUAGAAGAAAUUGGGGUAAUGAAAUACCUUAAAGCUAACUUAAGUCAGGGCUAGUGUGGGUUUUUUUUUUGGUCUCCAAAGAGUGAGCCUGUAUCAGGUAGUGAAGUAAUUCCAGGUAGCAUUGUACUUAAGGAAAAGCGUAAUUAAAUUGAUCCUAUUGUAUUACAUAAAUCCAACAUAUCCUGUGUAAACUCAGAAACAGGUGGCUCUUUGUAAAAAGUAGCUGGCUAUUAACCAAUAGAAGUAAAAUUUUCUCACACAAAAACAAAUACACGGGAGGAAAACCUUGAAACAAAGGGUAACUUGGGAUUCCAUAAUCAAAGAGCAAAUCGAAUUUGAAAUCACCCCUGCAUGUUCAGUGUGCCUGAAUCCAGAGCCUCCACACUGGGCAGUGGGUGAGCCUGUCUCCAGACAGGCAUUUGAGUAAGCCAGUCAGGUUCCUGGAGCCUGCCACCUUUAUUAAAAAUAAUUGCAGCCUGGGUAAUUUGUAAUUUUCAAUCAUACAUGUAAUAUAGAAAAUGACAGACAAGGCGGGGGGAGUUUUAUAUUUUUAUUGCAGGGAGCCUGACUGACACUUCACAAAACGUUUUGACACAUUCAAGUGUGAGCAACAAAUCUGUCCACCAAUUCAUAAGCCACAUGUUUACUUAAAGAAGCCUACCCCAAUAAAUGAGGAUCAAAAUCCCAAGUGCUUAAGUCCGUAAAAUUCCUUACAGUGAACUAGCACCGACAGAAUACAUUCUGACCUCCUAAAGAUGAGUGAGGAUUUUCAAACAAAUAUAUCCUGCUUAUAUCAUUUUUAGGUCUAUACACUAUUUUUUUAAUUGUGAGAAGCCACACAUGGACCUUUCCUAUAUUUAAGCUUGCAAGAAUACUAAAGUGAAUGCAGUAAUCAGAUAACUGAAGCCAAAUUAUUUUCUGCAAUUUAGACUUCUGUUUACUCAGAGCACAUCUAGUAUACUCAUUUAGAAGCUCUAUUAGCUACAAAGUUUGAUUUUGUUUUCCCAUUGUGCCACUCCUCAGACACAAAGCCAUGGAAAAUCAUGAUUCCUCACAUUUACAAGUACCUAAAGGAAAUGAUGGUGACCCUAAAACACAUCAGAUUCAGAUGAAAGAAAAGGGUCUCCAUAUUUAUUAAAAAGGGACAAGAGCUCUAUAUUUCUUAAGGCUUCUAAUGUGAGCUAUUGAGAAUGGAAAUCAAAAUCGUAACUAUUAACACUUAAAAGUUGGGCAAUGAAUCAUUACAUUACAGUGUCUUAAAAUGCGAAACCUUCUCAAAACUGGGUAUUUCUAACCAACCCACCAGCAUAGGCAACCUUUGUGUGUUGGAGAGGGGGAAGGGGGGGAACUCCUGUUGGGGUGGGAAAUGAGUGGGAAUUGUAGAAGAGAAAAGGAAAGGAAAGAAAUCUAACUCAAGGACCUUGAAAAGUUAAUUUGGAAACUUUUGUUAGUGACUUUGGACUUCAUUAAACUCCAUGCAUCACUAUAGCAGCAUGAUCUCAACAGUUUGAAAGGUAUUUGUCAUCAGCGAAAGAAAAACAUUAUUUUUAAAGGAGUAAAAAGAUUGAUGCAUCACUGCGGACCACUUAAGCCCCACACAGUCUCAGUCUUUAGUAUUAAUCUAAACGUGAUGGCUUUUGCAUACGGUGCAUAAUUAAACAUUUUCUUUUCAGAGCUUUAUAGAAUCCCCAUAUGUUUUUAAUGGCAUCAUCUGAAUGUUUUUCUUAAUAAUUCUGGCAGCCUGCUCCUGAAUCUUCAAGUUUGUUUUUUGUUCCUAAUAUCUUUUCUACAGAGGCCGCAUUGUGCCAGAGAUUGAAUAAAGCUCUGAGAGCCUCAUCGUCAAGGAAGACACACACUCACAGACUCACACACGCUCACAUUCUGCUCUCUCCUCUCUCCUCCCUUGCAGCCGGCAUUGCUGUUGGCACAGAGAAAAGAUGUGCGUGAGAGUGGGCAAGGAAUGAACACAAGACUCCGUGCCAAAGCCUCCCUCUCCCAUGUGGCAUGUUCCCUUUCUCUUCUCUAGUAGGACUUAGCUACCUCAUGUUAGGUGUCUGCCUGUCCGUCUGCCUACCUGUCUGUCUAUGAGUGUUUGGUGAGCAUAUUUACGUGUAUAUGUACCAAUGGGGCAGCUGCAACAUAUGGUCUGCCUGACACAGGCUGGACAUACCAUAAUUUGCUGACUCAAUACCUAGUGCCUCAUGCGAACUGACUUUCUCUUCUUGAGCAGUGGUCCAUUUUUUUACCCAAACCCUUUCAGACACGACCCAUAAAACUGAAAUAAUGGAAUGUUCACCAUUUAGCUUAGUCAGCCACAUUUUGAGCUGUAAAUCAGAAUUACCUCCAUUUCCCAUGGUAUAAAUGCAACCCAGUGAUCAAGCAUACAUUCAGGAGGGAUACAAUAAUAAUCUGAGACUACAAUACCCAUGUCCACCUAGGACUGGUGCCCAUGGUCUCCAACACAGAAUGUAAGCGCCUCCGCUUGAAGAAUAAGUAAUUCAGACGGAAGAAUGUACACCAUUGUUGUUCAAAGGUAGCCGUGAAUUUGCCUUAUUCCAACAUAAAUUUAACUUCUGGAAAUGGACAAAGACAAUAAAUAACUCACAUUUGAAUCACAAGUCUCCUUUAGACUGAGUGUUUGAACUCAGAUCCAAGUUUCAAAACAUAAUAUUUUUUAAAGCAUUCUCACACUCUUUUCAUAUUUGUCAUCUUGCAAUCUGAUGACGUGAUGAACAAAAUGCAAAUGGUAACCAAAACGGCUUCCUUAUGCGAUUUUCCUCAUUGAGCUUCAUUUAUUUACAGAUGGCCAAGUGGCUCUGAGGGCAUUUGAAGCCGUCCUAUUAUUAAGAACUGAGCUUUAUCAAAAAUUUCAAAGACCUGGUUUGUGUUUCAGAAUUCCGCAGAUGAUGUGCCUUAAGUAGAAACAACCACCCUGGAAAGUCUUAAAACAUAUGCAGGCCAACAAGGGCAGAAACAAAUUAUCCAGGAAUGGGAUUGCUAUGGUUUUCACUGGUGCUUCUAGCAUUUGCUACGGGAACUUGACCGAAGCAAAAUAAUCUUUAAUGGCCUCUCUUUUUAAUGGUUCCUGGUAAACAAAAAUAAUUUU